rnacentral:rRNA from 1 species
AGCGAACGCUGGCGGCAGGCCUAACACAUGCAAGUCGAACGAACUCUUCGGAGUUAGUGGCGGACGGGUGAGUAACACGUGGGAACGUGCCUUUAGGUUCGGAAUAACUCAGGGAAACUUGUGCUAAUACCGAAUGUGCCCUUCGGGGGAAAGAUUUAUCGCCUUUAGAGCGGCCCGCGUCUGAUUAGCUAGUUGGUGAGGUAAAGGCUCACCAAGGCGACGAUCAGUAGCUGGUCUGAGAGGAUGAUCAGACACAUUGGGACUGAGACACGGCCCAAACUCCUACGGGAGGCAGCAGGGGGGAAUCUUGCGCAAUGGGCGAAAGCCUGACGCAGCCAUGCCGCGUGAAUGAUGAAGGUCUUAGGAUUGUAAAAUUCUUUCACCGGGGACGAUAAUGACGGUACCCGGAGAAGAAGCCCCGGCUAACUUCGUG